AUAUACUGUAGUAUCCUCUCAACAGAAACCAUCUCUUUCUCUGUUUCUGUGAAACUUGUUAAGAAGCUUCCAAGUAAAGAUACAAUUGGAGCCGCAUAUGAGAGAGCCAAACCAACCAACCCUGGAGUACCUAAAUUGAUGGGGAGGUAUUCAUGAGAACCGAUAACUGCCAUCACCGCAAUGAAUGAGACGAUAAAUGCUGCA
rnacentral:misc_RNA from 1 species